CGGACAAAUAAUUCACUUAAGUUUCACUUCAGUUUAGAAACCCUCUAUCUCAAACCCGUCUCUCACGACCUUUAGAAACCCUCUCUCUCUCAACUCCCUUUCUCAUCGCUGAAACACCAUCUCCAUCGCGCCGUCUAGGUCACUAAGUUUGCCAUCCAGGUUCCAGAUCUCGGCAUCCAGGUCACUAAGGUCGUCAUAUCCCUUGAGUCCAAGUUACCGAAGUCGCCAAAAGUAUCACCCUCACGAUCUUCACGAGGACACCUCCACAAUCUUCGCGAUCUCCCCUCUCUCGAGCCCACUAGCUCUUCUCUUCCAGGCUUCGCCUUCUCUUUGUCGACCCAUUCUCCGGUAAAUUUGAGGUUUCGUUUUGGUCUUUAUUUGACUUUUGUUUGGGCGAUUUCAGAGAUUUGCAAGCGACGCUUAUCGGUGGUGGUUACGAGUUGGAUCAUCGUUGUGUGAUCACGAUUCUGUUCUUGGGUCCAAGUCUGGCGACGUCAUGUUGCUUAAAUUACUUUUUGGGUGGGACAUCACGAAAUUACAGGGAUGAUGGAGUAGACUUCAAUUGUGCAUCAAUUGUAUGUUUGGAUGAGAGGAAGGCUUGGAUGAGGAGUACUAGAUGUAGGUCUUGUUAGGAGAAAAUUGUACUAAAGAAGCUACUCAUAGUGGUAAAAGUUGAAGAAAUGCAGAGGAAAAUUGGUGAUGAUGAAUGUAUAGCUCUGUAUACAUAUGGAGAACUUGACUUGAAGGAUAAUUAGGUAUAGGAAUUUUGGUGUAUUAUUAUAAUUAGGCUUGCAGCUAGCUGCCUUAGAGUAC